rnacentral:lncRNA from 1 species
AAAGAAAGCACGCUGUGAACUUUUAAAACAAACUUGAAAAACCAACCACAAAGAAAGCAUGAAAAAGAGACAGGGCUGAAUAAGAGGGAAGAGAAGAAUAAGUUUAAAAUAAGAGGAAGAAGAAGAAAAAAAGAAGCAAGAAAGGAAGGCCAGGGUUUGCAGCUCCCAGUGCGCUCAGGCAGCUAGUCCUGGGGCGCAGGGUGCCGGCCCUCGGGUAGACUGUGGGCCUCGGGGCUCACGUGGGUUUCAGGGUCCCAGCCGGAGCACCCAGAUAUAGUGCUGCUCCCGGGAGCUGGGGGCCCAGAGGCCACCCCAGCCACCGCCGCCCAGAGCCCGCUGCGCCGCGGCCGCCCCAUUCCCGGCCUAAGAGCUGGCCCAGGGAGACGCAAUCGAGCCCGCAGCGCAUCGAUGCGCCGCCGCCCGCGCCUCUCAAGCUCUGGCUGGCGCUCAGCCGCCACCGCUCGAGGGUCGCCCGCGUGAAUUCCAGCCCACCCGCGCCCUCACCACCAGACUUGCCUGUUGCCGACGCCGC